GACGAACGCUGGCGGCGUGCUUAACACAUGCCAGUCGAACGGAAAGGCCUCUUUCGGGGGGUACUCGCGUGUCGAAAGCGUGAGUAAAACGUGAGUAACCUGCCCCUGUCUUUUGGGUAAAUUUAGGAAACUGGGGGGAAUACCGGGUAUGAGCUCCUGCUGCACAUGGUGGGUGUGGGAGUGUCGGCGGGGGGGGAUGGACUCGCGGCUUAUCAGAUUGUUGGUGGGGUGGUGGGUUACCAAGGCUUUGACGGGUAUCCGGCCUGGGGGGGUGACCGGCCACAUUGGGAUUGGGAUACGGCCCAGACUCCUCCGGGAGGCAGCAGUGGGGAAUAUUGCAAAAUGGGCGGAAGCCUGAUGCAGCACCGCCGCGUGCGGGAUGACGGCCUUCGGGUUGUAAACCGCUUUCGCCUGUGACGAAGCGUGAGUGACGGUAAUGGGUAAAGAAGCACCGGCUAACUACGUG
rnacentral:rRNA from 1 species